rnacentral:rRNA from 1 species
GAUGAACGCUGGCGGCGUGCCUAAUACAUGCAAGUCGAGCGAACGGACGCGACGCUUGCUUUUCUGAUGUUAGCGGCGGACGUGUGAGUAACACGUGGAUAACCUACCUAUAAUACUGGGAUAACUUCGGGAAACCGGCGCUAAUCCCGGAUAAUCUUUUGAACCGCAUUGUUCAAUAGUGAAAGACGGUCUUGCUGUCACUUCUAGAUGGAUCCGCGCUUCAGUAGAUAGUUGGUAAGGUAACGGCUUACAAAGGCAACGAUGCGUAGCCGACCUGAGAGGGUGAUAGGCCACAUUGGAACUGAGACACGGUCAAGACGACUAAGGGAGGCAGCAGUAGGGAAUGGGCCGCAAUGGGGGAAAGCAUGACGGAGUAAGGCCGAGUGAGUGAUGAAGGUCUUGGGAUCGUAAAAAUCGGUUAUGAGGGAAGAACAUAUGUGUAAGGAAAUGUGCACAGAGUGACGGUACCGAAUCAGAAAGCCACGGCUAACUACGUG